ensembl:snRNA U6 U6 spliceosomal RNA
GUGCUCACUUCAGCAGCACGUAUACUAAAAUUGGAAUGAUACAGAGAAGAUUAGCAGGGCCCCUGCACAAGGAUGACAAGCAAAUUUGGGAAGCAUUCCAUAUUUUU